UACACCUCUCUGAAGAUGUGCUGUGCUCUGU
rnacentral:piRNA from 1 species